rnacentral:rRNA from 1 species
GACGAACGCUGGCGGCGUGCUUAACACAUGCAAGUCGAGCGGCGCGGCGAACGGGUGAGUAACGCGUGAGUAACUGCCCCCCUCCCCGGGAUAACAGUUGGAAACGGCUUCUAAUACCGGAUAGUGGGGGCUGACUCGCGUCCUAUCAGCUUGUUGGUGGGGUAGUGGCCUACCAAGGCGACGACGGGUAGCCGGCCUGAGAGGGCGAUCGGGCACAGUGGGCUGGGAGAGGGCCCAGAGUCCUACGUGGGGCAGCGGUGGGGAAUGUUGCACAAUGGGGGACACCCUGAUACAGGGACGCCGCGUGGUGAAUGACGGCCGUCGGGUUGUAAACCGGUUUCGACCACGACGCGGUAGUGGAAGAAGAAGGACCGGCUAACUACGUGCCAGCCGCCGCGGUAAUAC